CUCUCACUUACUUACCACUAACUCACUGCUACACCACACACUACUCUUCAACACUCUUCUUCACUUCUACUCGCUCGCUGACUCACCUCAAAAAGCUUUCUUGCUCUACAAACAACUUUAACAAAUUUACGGGCACUCUCACUCUCCAUUGCGCCCUCUCUUUGACAGCUUCACUUACUCUUUCCUUAUAAGGACCUGCGUUACUUUAAGCUAUCCUAACUUAGGUACCCAGCUUCAUGCUGUUAUUUCAAAAGUGGGCUUUCAAUCUCAUGUUUAUGUAAACACCGCCUUAGUUAAUAUGUUUGUCUCUUUAGGGUUUUUGAAGGACGGUUCCAAACUGUUCGAUGAAUUGCCGGAAAGAAAUUUGGUUACGUGGAAUGUUAUGAUCACUGGUUUAGUGAAAUGGGGUGAGCUAGAAUAUGCGCGUUCUCUCUUUGAAGAGAUGCCUUGCAGGAAUGUUGUGUCGUGGACAGGGAUUAUAGAUGGUUACACCAGGAUGAAUCGGUCUAAUGGGGCGUUAGCUUUAUUUCGGAGAAUGGUUGCGUGCGAAUAUACAGAACCUAGUGAGAUAACUAUUUUGGCUGUUUUUCCGGCUAUUUGGCAAAAUGGGGAUGUUAGGAAUUGUCAAUUGAUUCAUGGGUAUGGUGAGAAGAGGGGGUUUAAUGCAUUUCAUAUACAUGUCUCAAAUUGUUUGAUCGAUACUUAUGCAAAAUGUGGGUGCAUAUUUAGUGCCUUAAAACUCUUUGAGGAUAUAUCGGUUGAGAGGAAAAAUUUGGUGUCUUGGACAUCGAUAAUAUCUGGGUUUGCAAUGCACGGGAUGGGGAAAGAAGCAGUAGAAAAUUUUGAGAGGAUGCAGAAAGUUGUUUUGAAACCAAACAGAGUAACAUUCUUGAGUGUUUUGAAUGCUUGUAGUCAUGGAGGAUUGGUCGAGGAGGGGCUCAAGUUUUUUGAUAAGAUGGUUGAGGAGUGUGAAGUUCUGCCAGAUAUAAAGCAUUAUGGGUGUUUAAUAGACAUGUUGGGAAGGGCUGGGAGGUUAGAACAAGCGGAGAAGGUUGCUUCGGGGAUACCGAGUGAGAUUACUAAUGUUGUUGUUUGGAGGACCCUUUUGGGUGCUUGUAGCUUUCACGGUAAUGUGGAGAUGGGUGAGAGGGUGACAAGGAAGAUAUUGGAAAUGGAGAGAGGAUAUGGAGGGGACUAUGUGCUUAUGUAUAACAUCCUUGCUGGGGUCUGGCGGUAUGGAGAUGCCGAGAGGUUGAGGAGAGUCGUGGAUGAGAGGAAUGCCCUCAAAUUUCCUGGCCGUAGUUUGGUCUAGUUAAUGCUGAAGUUGAAUGGUAGCGAUCUGGAUAGAUGGUCCCUUAUUCCUUUACUUAUAUAAAGUUUGUAAAACAAUUUAUCACUGAGCUGAGAUUGCUUUCCUUUUCAAGACCUACAUCGGCAAGGCACCUGAGACGUUGCUAUUGCCAAAGUUCUUUCAGCUUGUGAAAAGCAGCCUCUUUUUUAACUUCAUUGAAGAAGGUAGGCCAUUCCCGUUCUGUACAUUUAGUUUUUGUUUCCUAUUUAACAUUCGGUUCAAACAGCAAAAGAGAGUUGAUCCUUUUGUUUUUUUAUUCAUUUUAUGAUUCUGACAGAGUUGCAAAGUUUUUCAUGUAGCACCCAUUCUGAUGGAGUUACAAUGUUUUUUGUCCUCUUUAUUGUUCAGAUGGAUCGAUUUUUGGUAAAAUUAAUAAACUGUUCUUAUUUUUUCUUUGGCUUUUGCUCUUUUAGCUUUGUUGAAAACGGCAAAGAGAAAUGAUUCAUAGGCUAGCUCUUCAGUUUGUCCGAGCUAGGAUUUCCGAAUUCAAAAGCCAAUACAUAUUUAUUUGCUUUUUAUCAUUGUUUAUCUUAUUUUAUUUUAGUGUUUUGGUAUGUUUGAUUUUCAAUGUGAAAGUCAAUAGCUUACUAGUUAGUUACUACCAAGAAUUUAGGUCCCCGUAGUGGAGGCGUUUCAAAGUUCAAAGCAUUUUGCAUAUUUUAAUUUGACUCCUUUUUCAUACUUUAUCAUUCAACUAGAUAAAUUUACAGAUAGAAUUUUCCAACUGCGAAGAACAGCUAAGUCAUUCCUUUUUGGUUCAUUUCUGGCGGGUAAAGGACUUUUCCAAGUUUCAAAGAUGAAUAAUGAAAAAAAAUUCUUUUACCAGCUAUGUCGACCUUAAAAUAUAGGCCAUGAAAGAUUGACAAGCUCAGAAAACACCAGGACCAAAACCUCAACCUAUUCCUAGAAGCUGAGAAUUUGAAGAAAUGGAGAAAUCUUGGAGAGCUUAGGCAGCUUCCGAGAAGCCAAUGACUGAAAAAUAUUUCGCUGCACUCAGGACGGCCAGGACUAUUAGGUCUCAGCUGAAGAAAGGCGCUGCACCAAUGCAACAAAUAAGCACCUCACUCUCUCAGGCUGCAGAGAAGGAACCCCAAUUUACAGGACCCCCUUUUCUGUUACUAAUGGCUUGGGGGGGGGGGGGAAUCAAAGAAGCUUCCGAUGGAGUUCCAAGGACUGAGGCAGAAAAUGAUGACCAUGUAUAUCUGUUGAGAAAAGGUAAUUUAAUGUGACAGGAGAGAUCUCAAACAAGGAUACAAUUGAGAAAACCAUCUGUUGUGGUGGAGAUUCUGGAUAGGCGUGACACGGACAUAGAGAUUAAGAAAAGAUUGUUGGAGCUGUAUCAAAUUUUCUUGGACAUGACUGUAAAGGUGGACGUCAAGACUUUGAAGCACAACUGGAGAAGCAGCAGCAGCAAGUAGUUUGCUUGGGGAACAUACUUCUGGUGUUGAUCAUUCUUUUGAUGGUUAUCAGUUUUUGAAUUGUAUCGGAAACGAUGCCCAAUCAUACUUUGUAGUUUUCUCUGCUUUGAAAGUCCUUGUAUUAGGACUGGGUUGUGACUAUUCUUCGUCCUUGUAUCUUUUCUCCAAUUCAUUUGAAAUACAUUGUCCUGAUUAUAUAGUCUAAGGAUGAAAAUCUUCUGGGAACCAUAUUGAAUGAGUAAUAAAUUUAGCAUUCAAGUGAUAAUGAACGAAAGAAACAAUGAAUGAAGACUAUGUUGACCGGGAAUGUAAAUGCAGAAAAAUAGCAGAUCUGCUAUUGAAAAAAAUGAUAUCACAUGAGGUCACUCCUUAGAACUUUGAAUAGAGACGAGAAGAGAGAGCUCUGAGAAAGAUUGAUAAAGUAAGCUCCAUUGGACGGAUUGUUAAUUUUCUUCUGUACAUGAAAAGUGUCAACAUUAAUUGCUUUAUGCAUUGCAGAUGACACCAUCUAGCAUCUAAUACCGAAUCCCCAAUAUUACGGCAAAGCCACAAAGAAGCAAAAGUGCACCAUUUCCUCCAGGCAGGAUAGAUGACCUGCAGAAUCCAAACAUGCAAUCGGUUAUAAUCAAGAAAAGAUAGACAUGGAGAAACUACGACCAUUCAAUCAAGUUUGCAUAUAUAUAUAUAUAUAUAUAUAUAUAUAUAUAUAUAUGGUAAUGUUAUUAUUUAAUAUUAUUUACAUACAAUGUUAUUGAUAUAUAAUAUUAUUUGCAUAUAAAUAAUUAAAACUUCAAGAGUAGUAAUGUUUAAUAUUUUGGACUCACUGUGUGUACGUAUAAAAAAUUAUUUGUUAGAUUAUUAAUAAUUCGUUUAUUUUUUAUGUUGGGUUUGUAUCUCAAUAUUUUAACAUGAUUAUUAAUUGAGUCAUAUUUGCAUUAACGUAAAUUUAAUAACAUGACACGGUGACCUAUUACUUUAUUUCUACCUUUUUUUUAUUUUAAGAUACUAUUUUAAAAAUAAAACUAUAAACAUAUUUUUAAAUUUACCAAAAAUCAAUUAUUUCUUACUAUAAAACAUACAAAAUUAACAUAAUUUGAUAAUAAUGAUUGAUUAAUAAGGAUUGAGUCAAUCAAUUUUUGUGUUGAUUUACAAUCAAUAUUUUUUAGUUAAUAUUUAAAAUAGAUACAAUCGAUGAUUUGAUUGAUUGUAUUGACUGAUUGAUUGUUUUUCGCUGUACAAACUUAACUUCUCAAUAUAUAUAUAUAUAUAUAUAUAUUUUUAACACUUAAAUCAAAUUUAGAUCCCUAUGUAAUUUCGGAGGGUAUUGGGAGAGCCGGAGAGGGCUGUACAACUUAAAAUGUCCAUCGUUUCUACACUUAAUUGGCAAGGAUAGAAACCAUUCAAAGAUUGAGGUGUCUUCUUAUCAUGAAUCUGUUGACAAGUGCGGCAGCGUUUGACGAAGAACACGCAGGACUCCUCGUGCUUUCUACCUAUUUAUCAAAUGUUUAAUGAAUGAUUAAUGCUCGAAAGACAUCGAGGCCCUACCACAGUGUCGAUGCCACCACUGUGUCACGGGGUGAUAGUUUUGCGUAGCAAGUUCCCGUGCGGCACUUGAGCGACCUUAGCGUGUGAGUCGCCAAGUAAGUCUAGAUUACUCCCUAAACAAGCCAAACACGCAUACUUGGAGAAAAUGUUAAGGGAAGUAAGAGUGGAAUGGCCAAAGAUGAUUGUAUUGCAUUUUGAAUAAUUACAAGAGUGUUUGUACAAGAGAGCUUGAGAGCUAGUGUGCUAGGUGUGUUGUGUGGGUGUGUUGGUGGUUGUGACAAUGAGGGUUGCUCACCCAUAUUUAUAGGGGGUGGAAUGCCUAAUUCUAGAGAAUUCUAUUACAAGUGGCAAAACACUAAGGGACCCAAGUGGUGAGUCCUAGAAAGUUCUAGUGAAUGGAUAAUAUGUAGAGAGUUCAAGACCUUUGGGCCUUGGUGGACUUUGGGCCUUGGUGGAGGUUUUACUAAGUGCACCCCAGCUAGUUAGUUGUCUUGGUGGCUCAAUUUCUAAGUUAACCCCCACAUCUAAGUGUAUCCGCUUGAGUGCCAAGCGAGCCCGUGACGACUGGCUUUUAACAUUGCUCCAUCUUUCAUUUUCACGUUUACUUUUCAAAAGAGGAAAGCAGAUUAAAUUCAAGGAAACUUGGCCAAAGACAUUAGAUCAAACGAUUUGAAUCCUCCCCCGACUUAAUUUUUCCAAAGAGAUUUUGACACAUGACAUUUAAGAAAUUUUAAGGUCAGAAUUUAAUUUAUUUACAAUUUUCCUUAUUUGACACAACAAAAAAUGAUAUUUUUAAGACUGAUAGAAAUUGCAAACUAACAGAAAUUAAUUUCAUGUCAGUGUCUUCUUUCUCCUCUUUCAUUCAUGCAAUAAUCUUAAAAAAGAAUAAUAAAAAAAGGUUUUAGAAAAAAACUAGGAUAAUUUUUAUCUCUUUCUUUAGUGAUUUUUUUUUUCUUUUUACAAUCAUCUUGGUAUCUUAAAUAAAUUAGAGUGAAAUCAAAUUUUAAAUUAUCUCUCUCCUCGUUUUUUUAUAAAUAAACUUUGAGAAUUAGAAAACUAGAACAGAGAUGCAAAGAUUUCAAUUCAAAAUGGUUAUAUUAUAUCUGUUUCUUUGAUCUUAAAGGUACGGAGGCCAAACAAAGAAUGGAAAAGGGAGAAGCAGUUUAAUUUUUUUUUUUAAAAAGAAUAAGAAUAAUAAUCUAAUGCUGGCAUUAGAUAAUUUAAAAAAAUUCCAUAUGCCUGAAGACGAAGUACAAUUUUUAUGCAAGUUUGAGAAGCGACAAAUUAAGAAGCCGAAAAAGAAGUUUAAACUUCUGUUAGUGUUCAAUUUCAAUUAACCUAAAAAUGUUAGAUUUUGGUGUUUAAAUAGGAAAAUUGUAAACAAUAUAAUCUUAGCCUUAUGAUUUUUUAAAUGCUAGGUGUUCAAAUCUUUUAUAAAGAUUAGGAAUAAUUAGAUUAGGAGAGAAUUUAAAUCCUAGAUCAAAAGAUGUAAUUUUUUUUUUUAAACUAAAGGGGAGCAUAUAAACUUAUGAUAGUCAGUCAUUCAUACGUUUUGCAAAUCAAUUAUGAUUGUCUCUCAAUUCUUUUAAGUUUUUAAAGAAAUAAUAUUAGAUAAUCUAAUAUCUAAAUCUCAAUUUAAAUCCUCACUAAUGUAACAUUUAUUUAUUAGAUGGUAAUUAAAUAAUUUUAUAACUCAUGAAAUUUAUUAUAUUAGGACUCAAGUAUUAAAAUUCAUUUUAAAGAUCUUGUGUUAUUUAUCUUUUAAUGUUAGUAUAUAAUUAAGAUUUAACUAUUUAUACUUUUUUGAUGACCGCCAAUCAAAUAGACUUUACUGAGGAGUAAAUCAUGAGAAAUUGAGCCCCCACUGUAGGACUUGAAAUUCUCGCCCUAGAGCCUGAGUUCGCCACUGAUGCCAUUAAGCCCUGUGACACAUAUUAUUAUCUAAGUUUUGAAAAAAUAAUGCACGUACAAAAUUAGAGAUAUGAAUUAAUUGUUUUCAAAUUUUCUAGUCUUUUGUCUCUAUUUUUGCCCUCCAUAUUUUACACGUCCGUAUCAUUCAUUAAUCCCAAGUUUAUAUGUUCAAAAUCUUGUAUAGUCUAAUUGUUAUUACUUUUCAAUACUUAUUUUACAUUUUGUAAAAACAGAUAAUAAAAGAAGGAGCUGGCUAAGUUACAGAUUCUGUAACAUACAGAUCCAACUUAGCCAGCUCCUGAUUGGUUAGCUAGCUACCAAACAAAAACAAUUGCAUGCUUUUUCUCCAUACGCAGCACAGGUGUGGUGCAUGCAUUGGGUGCGUAUGUUACAGAAUCUGUAAGGUAGACAGGUCCAUAAAAGAAACGUGUUUGGUCGUCGUCGGCAAUACGGCAUCAUACAAAUGGUGUUCACUUUAUAUCUCACUGUGCACGAGACCCACCAAUCAUUUCACAACAUUUAUUGGUUGCUGACAAUGUAUCCCGUACCUUUGGUUGUUGCGAGUUCGCCUAUUCAAAUACUAUGUACCACUCAGUCUUUACAUUUUUUUUAUAAUAUUCAAUAAUUUUUUUAUAUUAUAAUUUUAUAAUAUUAUUCUUAUUUUUAAAUAUAUUUUUAUUUAUAUUUAUUAUAAAAUUUAUUAAUUACAUAAAUAAAAAUUUAAAUUUAAAUUUAAAUCGUAAAAAUAACAUAAUAUUAAUAAUCAAUUUUUUUUUGUAUUUUUUGUUGUUUUUAUAAACUUUUUUUCUCAUGAUAAAUGUUUAUUUUAUAUUCCUAACAAUCUAAUAUCAAAUAAGUGCCUGUUUGGUAUGGUUUAUUUAAGAGUCAUAAAUGGUGCUUAUUUAAUCGUAUAAGCACUUUUUAAAAUUUUUGUAUUGGGGGAGUUGUUAAAUAUUAUUAAAACAAUAAAAAAUCAAGUAGUAUAUAUUUAUUUGAGUAGAGAGACCCUAUCAAUCUUCAUUUUAUGUGCAAAUAAUAUAAUGUAUAAAAAUGAUUCCUGGGGCUAUAUUUUUUUAUUAAAAUUAUAUAAGUACAACUGUUUUUCGCCUUUACAUUAUCUUUUAUAUUUCUACCUUUUUUUUUUUAUUUUCAGAUACUCCUUUAAAAAUAAAACUACUAAACAUAUUUCUGAAUUGACCAGAAAUUAAUUACUUCUUGGCAAUAAAACAAACACUAAAAACACCAUUCUAAAAAACAAUAGAAAAGGCAUCCGAAUUUUUGAGUGAAUCUUCACGUUGACUUGAGUCGUCUCUUAGACUUGGAUGAACCAUGAUGUACGAUUGAAUGAUGUCAAUCACUUUAUUAAAGUCUAGCAAACACUUUGUACCAAAACCUCAACCACUGGUCAAAGUUGUAAUUGGGCAAGUAAACAUUGACUAUUGAUAGAAACCAUUUAGUUGUUGGAUUAUUUUCAGUAUCCAAAGAGAUGAUAUCGUGGCUAGCUACCAAGUUCCAGUGAUACUUUAAGCUCUAAAGGCAUAAAUUUUUAUCAAGCAUUACUGAAAUACUAAAGAUGCCAUUUUGACAGGGUUAACAAAAAAACUGUACCAAAUUGCUUACCCUGCAGGAAAAAUUACAGGAAAAUUCAUUGGAAAAGGGAAUGCAGAUUCAAGAAGGAUCAGUACUUCACAUUAACUUUGAUCAUCAUAUUUCAACGAUCAUAGAUAAGCUGUAGUUUUGUUAUUCAGCUUUGCUCCCUUUUUUCCGACCAGCUCUUUGCAAUUUUACUUGAUCAAAAAUCCCAAUUCUCAUUUCAAUCUUCUGUUAAUCUUCUUAAUCUCAAGAUGAAAGUCGAGGAGUUGAAGGGUGAAAUUAAGCGAGAGAAUUCAGCACCGGGUUGAUGAAUGAUGAGGCUAAAACAGACACCGUGUGCCCUUUACCAAUGCAUGCAUCUUUUGUUUCUUGAGCAUGUGUGAUAGCUUCGUCCUUGUGAAAAAUUGAAAAUUGAUUAAAUAAUAACCACCCAGAUAAAAUGUAAGUAGGAAAGAAAGAAAGUAAUAAAAUAGAAUAACUUCUUCUGGAAGUCCAAACUUUUUGUUAAGAUUCAAAUCAUGAAUUAUAAUUUAUUGACAACGCUAUUUUAUAGCAUUUUGUUGUGUUAGGUUCUAAUUAAAUUUACUGAUCAACCAUGUCUUUAAAAAAAUAAAUCAAUCUUUGCUUAACCCCUGCUUUCUUUACUGUUUGUACUGCUGUCGUAAGUUCGUAAACAGCUCUUAACAAACUCUUCAAGAAACUUUUAAAAAUAAGAUAAAGAAUAUAAAUUUCAUUUUUAUUAAUUCAUAAGCCCGAAGGCUCAUACAAGUACUCGAAACAUGAAAAAAAAAAAUGAUACAAUUAACGUAGUUUAGGAAUAAUGAUUGGUUGAUAAAAAUUGAGUCAAUCAAUAUUGAUAUCGAUUUUAGUCAAUCUUUCUUAAUUAAUAAUUUAUAUUGAUUGCUUUGUUUCCAUCAAUGUUGUGUGAUUCUAAUCUAUCCUCCCCCAAGAUGUCAUAAACAUUUUUUGAACUCUUAGCUUGCUUUGAAAAUUGUAAAUUCUUGAUUUUUAUUUACAGUUCUCAUCCUAAUGUCAUGCAACAAAUCAUGAAGCAUUCCUUUAAAGCUUGAUUAGGAAAUUUUCUAAUUGAUUUCAUGUGCACAUUUCUUUUAAGAUCGUAAAAAUCAUAAGCAAUAGAUUCCUUUGAUCAAGAAAUUCUUUCAGUAUGAAAGUUGUUCCUUUGAUUUUUUUUUUCAAAGAAAUCUUCACUCCUUUGAUCUUACCAUAGAAUUCUUUCAUUUACAAAGCUAUUCCAUUAAUCUUGUCAAGGAAAAUAUCAAUAUCAAUAAUUCCUUUUCGUUCUCUUUUUCUUUUGGUAUCAUUUCCUUUGUGGUGGCUGAAGUGGUGGUUGAUGGUCCGGCGGUUGUUGUUGUUGUUAUUAUUAUUAUUAUUAUUAUGGUGAAGAAAUUGUAGAACAACUAGAACGGUAUUCACAUUUCUCUGCUCUAAACCACCAUGAUCAAGAAACUCAUCAUUAAUAUUGUGGGGAAGCCUAAAUCCAUGAACUUUAGGACUCUGAAACUCGUAUCGACAUCAUGAAAAUUUUAAAAAAUAAUGUAAAGAACAUAAAAUUUACUUUUAUUAAUUUAUAACCACAAAGGCUCGCUCCUCAAUUUAUACAAGAAUUUGAAAUAUGAAAAAUAAAAACAAUACAACUAACAUAAUUUAAAAAUAAUGAUUGAUUUGUAAGAUUGAAUGAAUUAAUCUUUAUGUUGAUUUACAAUUAAUUUUUUGUAAUCAAUAAUUAAGAUGGAGAAAAUCAUUCAUUUGAUUGAUUUUAUUAAUUAUUUUGUUUUCAUCAAUAUCAUUUGGUUCUUAUUAGUCUCAUGGUAGGUACAAUUGAAGUUGUUUUUAUUACACAAACUUAACUUUAUAUUUUUUUUUCAACACUUAAAUCAAAUUUAGAUUUCUAAGUAAUUUCGGAGGAUAUUGGGAGAGGGCUAUAGAACUUAACUUAAAUAUCUAAAUUUUCUAUAUUUGUUUGGCAAAGAUACAAACCAUCCAUAGCUUUUGAGGUCCUCUAAUCAUGAAUCUGUUGAAAACAGUGGCAACGUUUGGGCAAGUAAAAUGCAGGCAGUAGCAGCUCGACCUUUAGGCAACUUAGGCGGUUGCCUAAGGCCUCGUUUUACAUAAAAGCCCCACGAGAUGAUUAUUUUAUAUAUUAAAGGAGAAAAUGAAUUUAAAAGUCAUUAUUAUUCAUUUGCUUUAUUAUUAUUUUGUAAUUAUCGUUUCCUAAAUAAACUAUUAAAUUUCUAUAAAGUUUAUUUAAUAUAGUACUUAAUAGUUUUAAUUUCUACAAAAAUGAUAAAUUAAUAGUUUCAAUCUUACAAAUUCUCUAUUUCAUUGUUAGAAUUAAUAUGUUAUAUUUCAAAAGUUAGCAGUUUUAAUUUCUACAAAACCGAUAAAUUAAUAGUUUCAAUCCUACAAAUUCUCUAUUUCAUUGUUAGAAUUAAUAUGUUAUAUUUCAAAAGUUUUAUAUUCAUUUUAAACCUCUAUAAAAGCCUCACAUUUUAUUACUUAUCCAUUAAAUUUUUCCUCCAACAAUCAAGACAUAAUAUGUUCUUGGUGUUUGAGAGAAAGAAAGAGAGAGAGAGGGAAAAAAAAUCCUACUACCUCUACUUUUCACCCAAGAAUAAAAAAAAAAAUCUAAUAGUUCUUUCUAUUCUUUAUGGCUAUUGAUCAUUACUCAAAUCUUCAAACAAUUAAUAUAAACAUAAGUUAAUUUAUGAUUUCAUCUCAAAUUUCAGAUUUUAUCUUUUUAUUAUUCUCCUAAUUAAUUGUGUUAUUUAUUUGUUCUUAUUUUUUAAAUAUAUUCUUUUAUUCAUCUAAUUUUUUGUGUGUGCUUGUUUUAUCUAUUUUGAAAUAAAACUAUAUCAAAAAACUUUAGAGAAUAGAAAAAUAGAAAAAUUAGUUUAAUUUAGAAAAGCAGUUGUAAAAAAAAGAUAUAAUUUGAGUUUAAAAAAUAAUAAGUGAAAAUGUUAUAAUUAAAUUAAAAUUUCAUGGAUUAACAACAGUAAAAUAAAAUAUUAUUAAUAAUUUUAUAUUUUAGAGUGUUUAAAGAAUUAAUUUUUAAUAAAUAAUAAAUAACAUAUAACUUUUAUAUAUAUAUAUAUAUAUAUUAUUAAAUUUUAAAAAGAACUAAUUAAAAUUAUUUGCAUAAUACUUCAAAUAUGACUGAACCGCCCUACAUGCAGGAAUGUUCGUGCUCGGCAAAUGCGAGAGGUGCGGCUACCUAUCAAAUAUUUGAAAUUUGAUGAUUUAAGGUCCCACAACAAUGUCGGUGCCCCGACGGGAUUUAACAGCGUUGGUGCUAUCUUUCAUUUUCAAUUUUUUUUUUCUUUUAAAGGAAAAGGAUUGGGUUUUUGUUAAAAAAAUAAUUAUUAUUAUGAUAAGAGAGUAAUUAAUUAAAAAAUUUGAUGAUAUUUAUUUUAUGUAUAAAUAAUAUAAUAUAUAAUAAUUAUUACUGGGAUUAUAUUUUUUUUAUUAAAGAAUAAAUAAUUAAAAUUAUUCUAAAAAUAAAACAAUUAAACAUAUUUCUAAGUUUACCAAAAAUUAAUUAUUUCUUUACUAUAAAACAAACACGAAAACACCAUUUUAAAAAACAACAGAAAAAAGGCAUCCGAAAUUUGUGAGGGAAUCUUGACGUUGACCUCAGUCGUCUCUUAGACUUUUGGAUGAAACAUGAUGUAUGAUUGAAUGAUCUCAGUCUUCAUCAUCUCAAGUUCUCUGAAGCCACCAUCUCAGGUUACCCUUGUCUUGUUUUCGGCUUUUUGAUCUCAAGGGCACCUUAAUAGUCCAUCCCGUGAGUCGCAACUGUUGUUUGAAAUUUGCGUUUCUGUCCAUCCUUAAUUUCUUCCUCCCAGAUCACAUCUUAUUUUGCCAUCUGAUUCUAUCCACCCUUUUCAUUGUUGUCGUUGGUGUUUUGUAUUUCAUCUUCAUGUCCCUUUCCCUCUCUCAUUUCUCUGUACCGUAUCCACUUAUCAUUGUAGUUUCCCGCUGAUUUUCUCCACUCUCUUUGUUCAUAUUGGAUAAAAUACCUCCACUUAUAUUCAACUUUUGAUCUCACAACCACUUUGCUUUUGUUGCUGUUAGCUGUUUUGACCUGGUGUUCUGUUCUGUACAUUUGCUACUCUGUUUUAUUUCCCUUUGGUUUCCUUUGCAUCCGUUUCUCAAAACUUUAAAAGGAAAAAAAAAGUUGAAAAUGGUUGAUGCUGUUGUUACCGUUGCUUUGGAAGUUGCCAAGUGCUUGUUCCCUCCGAUCGGGCGCCAGUUAAGUUAUGUGCGUAAGUACAAAGCCAACCUUGAGAAUCUCAACAAAGAAACUGAGAAGUUGACCGAUGCAAGAGAUAGUAUCCAGAAAAAGGUUGAUGAUGCGAGAAGGAACGGGGAUUUGAUUGACAAAAGAGUUGAGAGUUGGCUGAUUGGUGUCGACAAGAUCAUUGCUGAGGCGGACACGUUAACUGGAGAAGAAGAAAAUGCAUAUAAGAGAUGUUUCAAGGGGCUCUGUCCUAAUCUUAAGAAACGCUAUCAACUUAGCCAGAAAGCGGCCACAAAGGAGAAGAGCAUCGCGGAGCUCAGGGAAGAAGCUGAGAAAUUUGCUCAAAUUUCCUGCCCUACUGUUCCAGAAGAGCCUUGGCUGAGGUCUGGCAAAGGUUAUGAGGCCUUUGAAUCAAGAAUAUCGACUUUACAGAAUGUGCAAAAAGCAUUACUUGAUCCUGAUAUCAGCAUCAUUGGGGUGUAUGGGAUGGGGGGCGUUGGGAAGACGACCCUCGUGAAGGAAGCGGCUAGGCGAGCCAAAAAAGACAAGCUAUUUGACAAGGUAGUUUUUGCAGAAGUAUCUGAGACUCCAGAUAUCAGAAAGGUUCAAGAGGAACUUGCGGAUCAGCUAGGUAUGAAAUUUGAUGAGGAGAGUGAUGUACCCGGAAGAGCUAGGAGGCUAUAUGCAAGGUUGCAGAACGAGAACAAGAUCCUCGCAAUUUUAGACAACAUUUGGGAAGAACUUGAUCUGGAAAAAGUAGGAGUUCCUUCUGGAAAUGAUUGUAGGGGGUGUAAAGUCUUGCUGACAGCAAGAGAUCGUCAUGUGUUGGAGAGUAUUGGGUCCAAGACUUUAGGGAUUGAUGUUUUGAGUGACGAAGAAGCGUGGACUCUAUUCAAGAAGAUGGUGGGAGACUGUGCUGAAAAUGGCGAAUUAAAAUCUAUAGCAACUGAUGUGGCUAAAGAAUGUGGAGGUUUGCCCAUUGCCAUCGUUACACUGGCAAAAUCAUUAAGAAACAAGAGUAGUGUCUCUACAUGGAAAGAUGCCUUAAGGCAAUUGAGAAGUCCUUCCCCUUGGAACUUUAAAGGAGUGCUAGCGAAGCCAUAUUCAGCUAUAGAAUUGAGUUACAACUAUUUAAGAGAGGAGGAGCUCCAGCAACUAUUUUUGCAGUGUAGUCUGAUGGGAUCCCCACAGGCUUCCAUGCAAGACUUGUUGAAAUAUGCAAUAGGUUUGGGUAUAUUGAAAGGCGUCAGUACAGUGGAAGAAGCACGAGAUAAAGUAAAUACGUUGGUCGAUCAACUCAAAGAUGCUAGUUUGUUGCUUGACGGCACUAACAGCUAUUGGUUUUCCAUGCAUGACGUUGUUCGUGAUGUUGCCAUAUCAAUUGCAUCUAGAGACUAUCAUGUAUUUACAAUGAGAAACGAAGGUGAUCCGAGGCAGUGGCCAGAUAAGAAGUGCUCAAGAAUAUCAUUAUAUGACAAUACUAUUAGUGAAAUUCCUCAAGGGUGGGAAUGCCCUCAGCUUGAGUUUUUCUACAUUUUUGCCCCCAAUAAUUCUCCUCUCAAAAUCCCCGACAACAUUUUCAUCGGGAUGCCGAAGCUCAAAGUUUUAGAUUUUACUAGAAUGAGGUUACUGUCACUACCGUCGUCGAUUCAUCUCCUAACAGACCUUCGAACAUUGUGUCUGGAUGGUUGCCAAUUGGAAGACAUUAGAGUUAUUGGAGAGCUGAGAAAGCUAGAAAUUCUUAGCUUGCAGGCUUCUGUAAUUGAGCAAUUGCCUAUGGAGAUAGGCCAAUUGACUCAGCUAAAGUUGUUAGAUUUGAGCUAUUGUUCCAAAUUAAAAGUGAUUGCACCAAAUGUUCUAUCAAACUUAUCUCAACUGGAAGAAUUGUAUAUGGCUCGUUGCUAUAUCAAAUGGGAGCAUCUAGGACUCAGCAUUGAGAGAAGUAAUGCCAGCCUCGUUGAAUUGAAGAAUUUAUCUCGUUUGACUACUUUAGAGAUAAAUAUUCUUGAUGCAGGGAUUCUACCGAGUGGCUUCUUCUCAAGAAAGCUGGAGAGGUAUAGAAUUGUCGUGGGGAGUGAGUGGGACCGGUUUGAUAAAUAUAAGACUCGGAGAACUUUGAAACUCAAGCUCAACUCUCGCACUUGCUUGGAGGAGUGGCGGGGCAUGAAGAACGUGGAAUACUUAUGUUUAGAGGAAUUGCCGGGUUUGACGAAUGUUCUUCAUGAUUUGGAUGGGGAGGGUUUUGCAGAGCUGAAACAUCUCAAUAUCCGAAAUAAUCCCAAUUUUUUACGUAUAGUUGAUCCGCUACAGGUACGUUGCGGUGCCUUCCGAAUGUUAGAGUCUCUGGUUCUUAAGAAUUUGAUUAAUUUGGAGACAAUAUGUCAUGGUCACCUCCAAGCAGAAUCUUUCUGCAAUUUGAAAACCAUAAAAGUGGAAAGUUGUCAUAAAUUGAAAAAUUUGUUCUCAUUCUCCACUGCCAAAUUCCUUCCCCAACUUGGAACAAUUGAAGUGACUGGGUGCAAUAAUGUAGAAGAGAUUUUUGUUUCUAGCAAUGAAGAGGCAAUCGGUGAGAUUGCAUUGGAGCAAGUACGGUUCUUGAUUCUUAGAACUCUUCCAUUGUUCACAAGCUUCUCCGCCUUUGUCAAGACAACUUCUACUGUGGAAGCAAAGCACAAUGAAAUCAUUUUGGAGAACGAGAACCAUAUUUACACUCAUCCGUCACUUUUCAAUGAAAAGGUAAGUGAACAAACCUUAUUAUCUUAUUUUAUUAGUACUACUGCUAUCACAAGAACUCAUAUUGAAACAACUGUGUGUGCAGCUUGUGCUUCCUAACUUGGAGGUCUUGGAAGUCCGGGAUAUUAAUGUUGCAAAGAUAUGGCACAACCAAAUUUCAGCAGUGAUGUCUUGUAACGUUCAAAAUUUAACAAGCUUGGUCGUGGAGGACUGCUGCAAAUUAAGAUACGUGUUUUCAUAUUCUACAGCUAAAAGACUUGGGCAGCUUCAACACCUAGUGAUAUCCAGGUGCCCACUUCUGGAGGAAAUUGUUGGCAAGGAAGGUGGAGUGGAAGCGAAUCCUUCUUUUGUCUUUCCACGGUUAACAAUCCUGAAACUCAGCUCACUACCAGAGUUUAGAGCUUUCUAUCCUGGAAUACACACUUUGGAAUGUCCCAUUUUAACUAGGUUGGAAGUGUCUCUUUGUGACAAACUAGAAAGUUUCUCUUCAGAAUCGUAUAGCCUCCACGAAAAUAAUGAGGGCCAACUUAUUGAAGUGCCAGUGCCAGCGCCAGCGCAACAGCCCCUGUUCUUGGUUGAAAAGGUACGAGUCUUUUUUCUAUAAUAUAUGCUUUGUUUAUUUCAACAUUUAUUUUAUUUUAGUGAUAAUAAUCAUAAUUAUAUUCUUCUUUGGAAUUUUUUGAAUGAACAUCAACUCCAACUUGUUUAUGUUUGAUUGGUCAUCAGGUCUUACCCAAUUUGGAGGAAUUGAGAUUAAGCAAGAACAAGGAUAUCGCAAAGAUAUGGCAGGGUCCGUUUCCAGACCAUCUUUUAAACAAACUCGAAGUUCUGGCGAUUGAGAAUGAUGAAUCGGAAGUUUUAUCACCUGACUUACUCGAGAGAUUUCACAAUCUGGUCAGUCUCCAACUAGAACGUAGUUCUUACAAAGAGUUAUUCUCAAAUGAAGGGCAGGUUGAGAAACAUGUCGGAAAGCUCGCUCAGAUAAAACAUUUAAAGCUGAGGCGACUAAAUGAUCUAAAGCACCUGUGGCUGUGGGAACAAAACUCCAAAUUGAACACGGUUUUUCAAAAUCUUGAAACUCUAUCUGUACACUUUUGUCUUAAUCUGACAAAUCUAAUGCCUUCCUCUGCCUCUUUUCGGUGUCUGAGAGAACUGAGGGUAUGCGCUUGCGAGCAUCUGAUAAACUUGGUAGCAUCAUCGGCAGCAAAAAAUCUAGUGCAACUCGUACAUGUGUCGGUAAGUGAAUGCAGUAAAAUUACCGAGUUGGUGGUAGCAAGUGAGGGAGAUGCAGCAAAAGACGAGAUUAUCUUCCCCAAACUGGAGUACUUGAAUCUUCAUCGUCUACAAAGUCUCACAACCUUCUGCUCUGCAAACUACACUUUUAAAUUCCUGUCUUUAUGGCGGUUAUCAGUGUCUGCUUGCCCCAAGAUGAAGAUUUUCUGCGGAGGAGUCUUUAGCGCACCAAGAUUAAAAGAAGUGUGGCUAAAUGGUCAAAAUUGUUGGGACCGUGACCUCAAUACAACCAUACAACUGUCGUAUUACAAAACGGUGCGUAUUCAUCAACCAAACCAUUUUUUUGUUUUUUUCACUGGAGGAUUGUUUGUUUUGACACCAUUUUUUUGUUUUUUUCACUUGAUUUAAAUUUUAUAAUUCAAUUUAAAUCUUUUUUUAUCAAAAUUGAAAUUACAUAUAUAAUUGCAUAUUGUUAUAAUUAGAUAAUAUAAUAACAAAUAGUACAAAAAAAUUUUAUAUAUCGUAAAAAAAAUUUCAAAAAAAGUAACAUUGUGCAAUUAAAUAGUUAAAAGACACUACUAAUUUUAAUUAAUUAUUAAUCCGAUUUUCUUGUUUUAACAGUAUAAAUAUUAUAUUUCAUUUGUUUGCACGUUAAAUUACAAUACAAUUUUGAAUUUACCAAUACAAUUUUUUUAUUAUUGCAAUAAAGAUAAAAUAGUUUGAAUUAAUAUCUAAACAUUUAGUACAAUCCUAUAUAAUAUUAUAAUGUGAGUAGGCUUCUCAAAUCUUACCUAGCAAACUAGAAAGCCACUGCUAUAGAACCUCUAAAAAUGUAGAUGCAUAUGAUGAAUGAGUUCAUAAGAUUUUUUAAACUAGUACCUCUAUACACUUCGGCUAUGUUUGACAGGCAAGAUUACAUUGGACUAAGUAUUAGGAUUAGACUAAAUUAAAUUGAAUUAUAUCUAACUUAUGUAUAGUACACUAUCGAAUUUGAUUAUAUUAGAUUAAAUUUAAAUGGUAUUUAAGUUAAUAUUUGAAUUUAAAUAUCAACUUUAUAUAGAUAUUUAAUAAGAAAUAUUAUAAUUAAUAAAAAAAUAAUAUUAUAUUUAUAUAUAUUAUUCAAUUAGUUAUGUGAUAGUCACAAUUAGAAUGAAGAAAUAUAAAUUAUUUAAAUUAUAGGUUGUUUCAUAUGAGAUAUAUCAUUUCAUUAAAUAAAAUUAUUCAAAUAAUAAAUUAAUUAAUAGUUUUUAAGUAAAUCAUGAAUAACGAAAAAUAAAUUACUUAAUUAAUAACAAUAAAUAAAUAAAUAAAUUUUAAGUUAUAAAUAAAAAUAAUGUAAUGAAUUAUAGAAGAUAUCAUAAAUAUAAUUUUUUUUUUCUCAUUGCCUAAUCCUAUUUAAACCCACAUGAAAAUUGAGAUUACUAAUCCCAUGAAUUUAGGAUAAAAAUUUGAAUUUAAUCCAUUAGUCCAAUGCAAGUGAGCAUGACAAACAUAGGAUUAAUAGUUUAUCCCAAAAAUUAAUCCAAUCCUAUACUUAGGUGGCGUUUGUUUUUUGGUCUGAAAUAUGAAUAGAGUUGAAUAUCUGAAUCUGAAUCAUACAUUUGUUUUUCUAUCUGAAUAGCUAAAAAUAAAUAUUAAGUUCUUUUUUCUAACUUAAAAAAAUCUGAAAACUAUUGUUUUUACAUUUAUGUCCUUACAAAUUAUAAAUGUUAAACAAAUAAUAAACAUCUCAAGAAAUAUAAAUAAGAUAAUAAAUUAUUAUAACAUAAAUCAUAUUUAAUUUGAUACAACUCUUUAAUAUUCUAUAUUAUUUAUGUUAAUCAAUUUUAUUAUAGUUUAUGAUGUUUUUAAUGAAAAAUAUUCAUAAAAAUUUAUGAAGAUAAAUAAUGCUAAUUUUUUAAGAAAAUAAAUAGAUAACAAUAAUAAUAGUCUACAACUAUUAUUAUCACAAGUUAUAUAGAGAGGGUAAUAAUGCUAAUUAUUAAAUUUUAUUUAAGUAAGGAUAAAAAUUAAUUAAUUAAAUAAGGAUAUUUUGGAGAAUAUCUUUAAAUGAUAUCAUUCAGACUUUUUAAAUUAAGUAAAAAGCUAAAAAAAUUAGCUUAAUGAUUUAAUGGCUGAAAUUUUUUAUUAAGUUGAAAAACAACAAACUUGACAACUUAACUGAUUAAAAUUAAGUCAAUUAAGUCAUUAAGUAAAAAAAAAAACAACCUCUUAAUCCCAACUCCCAAACAUAACCUUCAGGAGUAACUAGGAUAAUCAAAUUGGCUGCCCUAAGACCCUCAUUUGGAUUCAACUGACUACAAAGAUUCAACAUAAUUUGGCAAAUAAAAUAAUCAACUCACUUGUCGCAGAAGCUAGUUUAAGCAAUUUAUAUCAGAAGUGAACUAAUUGACAUGUCUUUAGGGAACAUCCUUUCACCUUAAAUUAAAAAUGUUGCUUUUUUUUUUUUUUAAAUUUCAGAAUGCUCAGAGUUCCACAGAUGAUUCAGGUCAAUCUUCAAUGUACCAUCAGGAAUAAUACCUUUUCUCUGAUGUUUAUUAGUCACGAGUUUUUUCAUUGAUGAUCAUUUCCUUGUAUUGGAAUCAGGUGCAAACAAGCCCUUCUGUUUCUAUCUUCACUGUUCUGCUUUGGCUCUCUUCAACUUUUGUGUUGCUCUUUUGAAAGUGCUAUUAUAAAACUUACAUUCCAUGUAAUCGAUUGAGAUUCAAUGGUUGAAUGGUCCUCAAUAGUUUCCUGGUUGCUGUAUUCUGUGAGAUUCUCAGGCACCCAAAAGACAAAUUAAGUACCAAAAUUAAGGAUAUAUAGUUGAACUUUGCCUUUGCGUGCAACUUGAAUAUAUUGUGUUCUAUGAGUAGGAACCCACGUAAAUGGUUCCUCGUUAACAUGGAUUGCCGUUGCUUGUGGUUCAAGCAACCUUGUUUACUAGUUGAUUCCUUGUCUUCUUAAUCAGAAAUCAUGGGAUACACUGGUUGUAAUUCUAGUCAUGCAGUAAAAUAUAAGUAUUGGCAAAUCGCAUUGAGCAGGAGAUUCAGAGCCAUAAAGCUUUGGAUUGUUAUUCGCAGAUAUGGCUUGGCUAACCUUAUGGAUCACAUUUGUAGCAAGUGUCAAAGAGUUCAUGUAUAGUGUCAAAGACUUCUUACCAUGACGAAGGCCGUUAUGUUUUCCCUUGUCAACCAUAUUUUUUCUGAGCGUUCAUCUUCUGAAACUGUUAGUAGAAUGUCAAGUAAAUCAUUUGGUGCAUCAAACCUUAACACCGUUAAAAAUUUGUUGAAGUCUCAAGAGUAUUUGAGCAAUUCCAAGCUAAAGUUAUUUUCUUGAUUCUUUUACACAUUUUUAUCUUUUUCUCUGAACAUCUGAUUUACAAGCUUUUUUUUUUUCCUUUAUUUCAGUUAUUAUAUUAAAUUGGUAACAGUUGAAAUAGUAGCUGGAAAAAUAUGGUUGUCAAAAAACUUUGGUGAUCUAACAUUUAGUCCAUUUACUUAUUUGGUUUUAAUUUAUUUAAUGUUAAAAUUACAUACAUACAAUGCACAAGACAUUAGUAGGAAUCCGGUCCAAUCUUAGUACCACAACAGAACGUGUCCUUAAGUCUCAUUAGAAAAGUUAGUCUGAGAAAUUUAGAGCAGAAAUGAACUAAGUAACACAUCUUUAGAGUUUGUACAUUCACCAUUAAUAUGAUGCUCUUCAUGAUUACAGAAUGUUCAAACUUUCGAAGAAGAUUCAGGUCAACCUUCAAUUCAGAAUCCGGAAUAAGGUCAUUUCUCUAUGACAGUUUAUGAGUUUAUCAUUGAAGAAUCUUCACUUUCUGUGUUGCUCUUUUGGAAGUGUCAUUACAUUUCCUUCAUGUAAUAGUUUGAGAUUCAAUGGUCGAAAGACCAUUAAUUAGCAUUAAUAAUUUUCUGGUUGCAGCAAUACGCUGUAUCCUGUGGCAAUCAGCAUGUGUGUGCAAUUUGUAUUUUCUUGUGAUUGAAUUUCUGGAGUUCUAUUCUUUUAGAAUUGAUAAAUUCAAAGGGUAUGUUGGUCUAGUGGUCUUGAUGCUGUUGUUAGAUAUACCAGUGGGGACAUUAUGCUUGCAGCAGUAAAGACCUAUAAAUUUUUGGGAUAACGAAUUCUCAGAGGCAGAGGCUCUUAGUUUUGGAUUUUGGAAUUUAAGUAAGCUCGAAUCUGAUGCUAAAACUUUUGUGAACGGAAAUGAUCCUAAGUCAGAAGGAAAAUCUUCAGAAGGAAUUGUUAGGAGUAAUCAUUAUCUUGCUUUCAAAUUUAUCUCGAGGAGCUAUAAUGAAACAACUCAUAGGCAUGAACUUUACAAUGAACAUUGUAAAGCAUCCUCCAUAUAUGGAAAUGGAAAGGAACCCAUCUUUAUAUAUAUGUGUCAUACUUCUACGUAUCAUAGAUUUUUAUCUUAAUUCAAAUCUGAAUUUUGUCAAAUUCAGACGUAUGGACGUAUAUAUAUUCAAAGUAACCCAUCUGUAUUUUUCUAUGUGUAUUCAAAGUCGUUUGCGUAUAUAUAAUUCGAGAGUAGAAUUGAAGAUUUAUAUUAAAACGCAUAGAUACAUUUUAACUAACAGUUACAUAGAUAUACAUUUUAAUUAACACUUUAAUGGAUCAAGGCAUGACCACCUUCUGAAAAGUGAAUGAGUUAAUUUCUACGCAAAUUUUACCUCUAAGCCAUUUGUGAACCAUUAUGUUUUCCACUGAGUUAUCAAAAAAUCAUCGUUUUGCUAAUCAAAUGUUUUCUCUUAUCCUUCAAAAACAAAAAAAACAAAAAGAAACACAAAACUAAAAGCAGCAGCCUGAUUUGGCUCUUUCACUAAAAUGUUGAAUUCCCAAGACAAUGUUGAAGUUAACAGCACCUGCCAGACUCUACUUAACAAACACAAAAGCAACAAAACUAAAACCAGAACAUUUUUCUUUUGUUUCCCCACAAACUCGUCCUCAAUUCACAACACAACAACAACACAAUCAGCAACACUUGCAACAACAAAAACAAAAACACUUGAUGCAUAUCCUACAAAACAGCCAAACACCAAACAACAUUACCACUCAAAUCCACUCUCACUUACUCACCACUAACUCACUGCUACACCACUCACAACUCUUCAACACUCUUCUUCACUUCUACUCGCUCGCUGAGUCACCUCAAAAAGCUUUCUUGCUCUACAAACAACUUCAACAAAUUUACACACACUCUCACUCUCCAUUGCCGCCUCUCUUUGACAGCUUCACUUACUCUUUCCUUAUAAGAACCUGCGCUACUUUAAGCCAUCC
rnacentral:lncRNA from 1 species